rnacentral:rRNA from 2 species
CCAAGGAGUCUAACAUGUGCGCGAGUCAUUGGGUACUGCGAAACCCAAAGGCGCAAUGAAAGUGAAUGCAGCCUCGGGUUUGCACAGGUAGGAUCGUCGGCGCCCCGCCGGCGCGCACUACCGGCCCGUCCCGUCUGCAUGCAGUGGGGCGGAGCGAGAGCGUACACGUUGGGACCCGAAAGAUGGUGAACUAUGCCUGAGUAGGAUGAAGCCAGAGGAAACUCUGGUGGAGGUCCGCAGCGCUUCUGACGUGCAAAUCGAUCGUCGAACUUGGGUAUAGGGGCGAAAGACUAAUCGAACCAUUUA